CCGACCUUAGCUCAGUUGGUAGAGCGGAAGACUGUAGUGUGAAUGCUGGAAUCUUUAGGUCGCUGGUUCGAAUCCGGCAGGUCGGA
rnacentral:tRNA from 1 species